rnacentral:rRNA from 1 species
GCUAGUUGGUGGGGUAAUGGCCCACCAAGGCGACGAUCCAUAGCUGGUCUGAGAGGAUGAUCAGCCACACUGGGACUGAGACACGGCCCAGACUCCUACGGGAGGCUGCAGUAGGGAAUCUUGCGCAAUGGGCGAAAGCCUGACGCAGCCAUGCCGCGUGAAUGAUGAAGGUCUUAGGAUUGUAAAAUUCUUUCACCGGGGACGAUAAUGACGGUACCCGGAGAAGAAGCCCCGGCUAACUUCGUGCCAGCAGCCGCGGUAAUACGAAGGGGGCUAGCGUUGCUCGGAAUUACUGGGCGUAAAGGGCGCGUAGGCGGAUAGUUUAGUCAGAGGUGAAAGCCCAGGGCUCAACCUUGGAAUUGCCUUUGAUACUGGCUAUCUUGAGUAUGGAAGAGGUAUGUGGAACUCCGAGUGUAGAGGUGAAAUUCGUAGAUAUUCGGAAGAACACCAGUGGCGAAGGCGACAUACUGGUCCAUUACUGACGCUGAGGCGCGAAAGCGU